rnacentral:misc_RNA from 1 species
GAUGAAGAACGUAGCGAAAUGCGAUAAGUAAUGUGAAUUGCAGAAUUCAGUGAAUCAUCGAAUCUUUGAACGCACAUUGCGCCCCUUGGUAUUCCGAGGGGCAUGCCUGUUCGAGCGUCAUUACACCACUCAAGCUAUGCUUGGUAUUGGGCGUCGUCCUUAGUUGGGCGCGCCUUAAAGACCUCGGCGAGGCCACUCCGGCUUUAGGCGUAGUAGAAUUUAUUCGAACGUCUGUCAAAGGAGAGGAACUCUGCCGACUGAAUCCUUUAUUUUUCUAGGUUGACCUCGGAUCAGGUAGGGAUACCCGCUGAACUUAAGCAUAUCAAUAAGCGGAGGA